rnacentral:rRNA from 1 species
UCUUGGCCAGCCUUCUGAAAGGAAGAUUAAUCCAGGAUGGCAUCAUGAGUUCACAUGUCCGCAUGAUUAAAGGUAUUUUCCGGUAGACGAUGGGGAUGCGUUCCAUUAGAUAGUAGGCGGGGUAACGGCCCACCUAGUCAACGAUGGAUAGGGGUUCUGAGAGGAAGGCCCCCCACAUUGGAACUGAGACACGGUCCAAACUCCUACGGGAGGCAGCAGUGAGGAAUAUUGGUCAAUGGGCGAUGGCCUGAACCAGCCAAGUAGCGUGAAGGAUGACUGCCCUAUGGGUUGUAAACUUCUUUUAUAAAGGAAUAAAGUCGGGUAUGCAUACCCGUUUGCAUGUACUUUAUGAAUAAGGAUCGGCUAACUCCGUGCCAGCAGCCGCGGUAAUACGGAGGAUCCGAGCGUUAUCCGGAUUUAUUGGGUUUAAAGGGAGCGUAGAUGGAUGUUUAAGUCAGUUGUGAAAGUUUGCGGCUCAACCGUAAAAUUGCAGUUGAUACUGGAUGUCUUGAGUGCAGUUGAGGCAGGCGGAAUUCGUGGUGUAGCGGUGAAAUGCUUAGAUAUCACGAAGAACUCCGAUUGCGAAGGCAGCCUGCUAAGCUGCAACUGACAUUGAGGCUCGAAAGUGUGGGUAUCAAACAGGAUUAGAUACCCUGGUAGUCCACACGGUAAACGAUGAAUACUCGCUGUUUGCGAUAUACGGCAAGCGGCCAAGCGAAAGCGUUAAGUAUUCCACCUGGGGAGUACGCCGGCAACGGUGAAACUCAAAGGAAUUGACGGGGGCCCGCACAAGCGGAGGAACAUGUGGUUUAAUUCGAUGAUACGCGAGGAACCUUACCCGGGCUUAAAUUGCACUCGAAUGAUCCGGAAACGGUUCAGCUAGCAAUAGCGAGUGUGAAGGUGCUGCAUGGUUGUCGUCAGCUCGUGCCGUGAGGUGUCGGCUUAAGUGCCAUAACGAGCGCAACCCUUGUUGUCAGUUACUAACAGGUGAUGCUGAGGACUCUGACAAGACUGCCAUCGUAAGAUGUGAGGAAGGUGGGGGAUGACGUCAAAUCAGCACGGCCCUUACGUCCGGGGCUACACACGUGUUACAAUGGGGGGGUACAGA